CCUACGGGAGGCGCCGGUGGGGAAUAUUGCACAAUGGGCGCAAGCCUGAUGCAGCCAUGCCGCGUGUAUGAAGAAGGCCUUCUGGUUGUAAACCUCUUUCACCAUCGACCAAGCCCUUUGGGGUGACGGUAGGUGGGGAACAACCACCGGCUAACUACCUUCCAGCAGCCUUCCUAAUA
rnacentral:rRNA from 1 species